AGCAGAGUGGCUUAGUGGAAAGAGAAUCAGAGGUUGUGGGUUCUAAUCCCACCUUUGCCA
rnacentral:tRNA from 1 species